CAGGGGAAGAUUUUUUCCCACAGAACGGACAGGGCCUCACCACCAUGGUUCGGCCCCUUGAGAUUGGCAGCCUGGCUAAUUUAUUUCAGCCCCGUUGCACAGCAGUUAAAGUUCCCAGUUUAUGAAUCGAUAAAGAACCUCCUGUGGGUGAAAAUGAGAGUCACAAUUUUCAUAACCAAGGACGUCUGGAACGGAAACAAAGCCGGUGACUCCCCGAAGGUCCGCCGGCCCUCCGGUGGGGUUUUUUGUGGCGUGAUGGCGGUUGUGUUGUGGCACAGCAUUGUGGGGAAGGUUGGCCUGCCAGCACAGUUCUGCAGGUUUGAAUCCCAUAAAGGGAAUGGCCAAGCAGUGCAAAACCAUGUGAUUUAACAGUACUACAGCCUCUGGACCGGCUGUGGGAGAGUCAAAACUCCACUGAAUCUACUGAACACUUCCGAAGUACAGGUGCAAUGUGUCAGGUAACCACUGGAGGGAAGCAAAGAUGCAUAAACUUGAAAAGAAGCCGAAUUCCCCGACUGCAAGAGUCGUCCGGCUCCUGAUGGGGUGAUAUUUUUUUCCCCAAGCACCAGCUAAAGAAACUAAAGUCCCCUUUUCAAUUUAACAAACACUGUUGUAUCUCUGUGCAGCUGUCUCUGGUAAGCUGGUGUUUUUUUAUUUAUUUGGUUGUAUGACAUCAGUAAAGUCUAAAACCCAAUCUCACUGUGACAAUACAAGACACCUGAGAAAUAGAGAGAGGCUCUGAUAGCUUUAAGAGUGACUUUUGUUGGACUUUGUUGUUGUAGCGUUGCUGUUACAGGAAGUAACACACAAUAAAUGUGUUCUGGGGCUUGAAAUCAGACAAACACAUCAACAAUGUGCGUUCAAGUUGGAGGACAUCUGAUAUGUAUAUAUAUUAAAAUGAACCUUUCAUCUGAAACUUUGUGAUGGCAUAUCCACGGAGCUGUUGCAGUUCCUCUAUCCCUCCUCUUCUCUCAUCCUUUCCUUUCCGUUGAAGGGAUAGUUCACUUUCUGAGGUUCUUAGAAAUGCGUUAUUUCUGUUCUAAUGCGUAUUUUUAACUUGGCACCGUUUUUGGGUGAGACGA